UUUUUUCAUAUUUAUCCUCCUCCCUACAUAGUAUCAAUCCUUUUUAUUCUUAUCUUUCGAGAUCGAGAUUUUCUCCAUCUCUCUCUUCAACGACGGCCGCCACCACUACCACCUCCUCCGCCAUCACACCCGCCGCUACAAAUAGGUUCACCUCCACUAAUCCCACCACCAGUUCCAGCGCAACCUCCUGUACUUCCACCAAGUUCCCACCCCGUCCUGGACAAUCUAUUUAGACUAACGAAUCGACGAGAAACUAAACUCCCCAACCGAAUAUAAAAGCGUGGAUUCAUUUCGAUAUCGAUUGGAUUUGUCUUGAAGUUAGAACAAUGAUUUUAGGUUUGAUUUCUUCAGAUCUUAUAAUAAUGUGUUAGUGGUGGCGGAUGUCGGGGUGGUUGCUGAUGCUGCAGUGGAGGUGAUAGUAGUAGUUGCAGUACUGGUGUUGGUAAUGGAUGUCGCGCAGAUGGUAAUGCUGGUUUUUGUUGUACUUAUGGGGGGUGGGGGGUGCAACAUUAAUUAGUUUUAUGAAUCCAAUGGCAUCACAAAAAUGAAAUUCAAUCUUAUCUCUUAACAAACUAGAUUUGUAGUAGUAUUAAUGUCGGUGUUAGUGUUUACAACAGUGGCGGUGGAUGUUCCAGCAUUAUUGUUAAGGAAUUGGGUGGUUUGCUGGAUUGUGGAUGUGUAUUGGUGUUGGACUAAUGGUAUUGGUGGUACCGUUGGAGGUGGUUUGAUGUUGGUAUUGGUGGUGGAUCAAGAAGGUAUGUAAGAGAUGAUCAUUUUCCUUUUUGUGGUUGCAAUUGUUGAUUCAGUUCUUGAUACUCCAAAUUAUAAAGUAUCUCUCAAGAUAAAUAUGUGGUGCAAUGGUAGCACAACUGACUCCACGCCAGAAAAUGCGUGUUCGAUUCACGUCAGGUUCAUUAAUUUUAGUGUAUCAAUUAUUGUGAUCGACUUUGGUUGUUGACACUAGAGUUUGGGAUGAACUUCGGUUGUUGACACCAGAAUUAGGGAUCAACUUUGGUUGUUGACUCCAUUUUUUUCUUCUUAUUUUCUGAUUUUUGUUUUGCAUAUCAACUUUGGUUGUUGACACAUAUUUUUUUUUUCUUCUUCUUAUUUUCUGAUUUUUUUUGGGGAUCAACUUCGGUUGUUGAUACCCGAAUUUAGGACCAAAAUUGGUUGUUGACGUAUAUUAUUUUUAUUUUUUUGAUUUUUUUUGUGGGGAUCAACUUCGUUGUUGAUACCAUAUUUUGGGAUCAAUUUCGGUCGUUGAUGCCAUAUUAUUAUUAUGCUUUUUUUCUUAUUUUCUGAUUUUUUUUUGGGAUCAACUUCGAUUCUUGACUUUAGAUUUUGAGAUCAACUUCGGUUGUUGACGCCGUAUUAUUUUUUAUUUUUUUAUUUUUGUUUUGGGGAUCAACUUCGGUUAUUGACACCAUCGACGACGGUGGUGGAUUGGUAGUGGUGGCGGCGGACUAGCAGUGGUCGCGGUGGCGAUGACCUUGGACUUGUGGUGGCGGCGACGGUGGUGGUAGUGGAGUGGUGGUGGAAUAUUGGUAGUGUAGACGGUUAGUUGGUGGUCUAUUAAUGGUGGUUGAAUGUUGGUGGUGGUGGUGGAUAUGUGGUAAUGCUAGUGGUGGCGGUAUGAUGGUGGUGGCGGCGUCGGCGGCGAAGUGGUAGAGAAAGAAAUUUGUUGUUUUUUGAAAUAAAGAAAAAUAUUAUAUGAGUGAGGGUAUUAGGGUAAUUCAUUUUUAAAUGGAUAAUGUUUUUAAAUGAUAGGGUUAUUUAUUGUUGUAUAAUGGUAUAUUUGUUGGGUGUUAAAAUUAGGGGUAUUUAAUUAAUGUACCCCUUAAUCUUUCCCAUAUGAAGAGUGGUCUGAUGAUUCUCAUGCUCCCUCCCACUGCGGAUGCCAGGGUUCGAACCCUUGUAAUUGCUAAAAUUCUUUAAUGAAUUGGAUUUAGGAGUAA